UCAGCCUUGCGGUGGCCGAAUCCCCUCUUUGACUUUUUUCGUUUUUUGGGAAAGGAACAAAGGGGGGAGGGUCGAAACCCAUGGGCGUUCCCUCGACGGGGGUUCCAGCGUAGCAAGUCUCUCGCUGGGUCUCGACGGGCGGAGCGCCAGUUCAACGAACACUUGGCCUCGAAUCAGGUAGGGAUACCCGCUGAACUUAA
rnacentral:misc_RNA from 1 species